GAUAGGGUGUCUGAUUAAGGUGGUAAAUUGUAAAUUUAUCUAAGGGUUUUAACUCCCCUAUUA
rnacentral:tRNA from 1 species